GUGCUCGCUUCGGCAGCACGUAUACUAAAAUUGGAAAGAUACAGAGAAGAUUAGCAUGGCCCCUGUGCAAGGAUGACAUGCAAAUUCGUGAAGCAUUCCGUAUUUUU
ensembl:snRNA U6 U6 spliceosomal RNA